GGCCCAAUGGUCGAAAGGUUAAGACAUAACUCUUUCACAGUUAAAAUGGGGAUUCGAUUUCCUCUUGGGCUA
rnacentral:tRNA from 1 species